rnacentral:tRNA from 1 species
GGGGAAGCGGCAACGAUUGGCGGUGUUGCGGCUGACUGUAAAUCAGUUCCCACGCGGUAAACAUUGGAGGUUCAAUUCCUCUCUUCCCCA